rnacentral:rRNA from 1 species
CCCUUAGAUGUUCUGGGCCGCACACGCGCUACACUGAAGGAGGCAGCGUGUACUCCUGGAUCGAAAGAUUUGGGUAACCCGCGAAUCUCCUUCGAGCUAGGGAUUGAGGUUUGCAAUUAUCCUUCAUGAACGAGGAAUUCCCAGUAAGUGCAAGUCAUAAGCUUGCGCUGACUACGUCCCUGCCCUUUGUACACACCGCCCGUCGCUACUACCGAUUGAAUGAUUUAGUGAGGACUUCGGACUGGGACCGAUGCGGCUUUCGGGCUGCGUCGGUAUUCUGGAAAGAUGUCCAAACUGUAUCAUUUAGAGGAAGUAAAAGUCGUAACA